AAGGCUAUUUGUCUACAGGCAGAGCUUAUCUUCCCAUCUCUGCCCGGGCACAGGGAGGGAGUUCUCCGGCCUCUGGAGAGGGGGGAACCUGCCGGGAUCCUGGCGGGGCUGGAUGGAUUCACUGUCUCCAAGGAAACACUGUCACCUCGCAACGCAGUCACGUUAGGAGCUAUUGUUACCAAUCUCUUAAGCACAUCAAACAAAUUCCUGGGCUGAUCGAGCUGGUAUCAGUGAACUGUUUUUCCAGAAGGUGCCUAAAGAUAGGUUGGUGAUACCUGUAGCAAGAUAUGUGAUCAUCCAGCUGAAUCUCUGGUCUGCUCGCUCCAGCGACUUCACUUUCACCAAUUGCUUUCACAGUUUUGUCCACUUGAAGUUCAUACUUUCAUUGCUUAAAAGAUCUCCUGCUUCAUUAAUGGCUUGUUAAAUGCCUUAUUAAUUUAUCCAAGAACUGUGGAUGAAAAGAAAAUACUUAAAGAGGCUCAUACUUUAUGUAAUGUUCAGGAAAGUUCUUUACGAGCACCUCUUCACUCUGUUGGGUGUGCUUGCCUCAUUUGAAUGUGCUCAGCCAUUUUAGGAAAACCUUCCAGGCUUCCCUCUUCGAGUUUGCAGCUGAAAAUGCAAACAGGAGAUCCUUCUCUUGGUGGGAACCAACAGACCAAGGAGAAAAUUCUGUGAAGGAAAAAUUAGGGGGGACAGAUGUAAACCGGGCAGCAGCAGCAGAACUGGCCUCUUCUACCUCUCUGGAUUUUGCUGAGGGCUUUAAUAGAAUCACAGAAUCACAGAAUGGUUUGGGUUGGAAGAGACCUUGCAACUUAACUCGUUCCAAGUGCCCUGCCAAAAGCAGCUCAGCUGAUGAAGACAUAUCCUGGGUUUGGAGUUGGCAGGAGAGCUUUACACGGUCCUGCUCCUGGAAAAUGACAGACUGUCACUACCCUCUGGUGAUUCCAAGCUGCAGCCUGACCCAAGGAGAACAUUUCCCAGCAGAACCAAAGAAUUUUGAGACCAGUAUUUGUCUUGUAAUAAACUUCAGAAAUGUUAUUACUCCUGUGUCAAGCUAUGCUGACUUUUUGGCUGUUGCCUUUAGAAACAUGCACUUACAAAUACACUGACAGUGACAAAAGCCUCAAAUAAACAGGCUUUUUGUGUUACCCUGUUGGUGACCAGUGAGAUUUAGCAUUGCCCAGAGCAUGAUCCUUACAGGUCUCAGGGCAAGAGGGACUUCCUGAUAUCUUUUAUUUCUUAUGAUGUUUUAACAUAUUCCAUUCACUCUGCUCAGGCACUGCAAGGAUUCCAGGUUGGGCUUAAAGCAUGACUUUUACCAAAUACCUGUAAAUAAAGAACUAUGACUGGGUUCAAACUCUUUUGGUAGCAUUAAAAUACUUGAAGGAAUGGUUGAAGCUCAUCUUUUUCCACAGGCAAUUCCAAUCCCUUAAUGAGAACAUUACAGUCAUGAUUUAGACACAAUCCAGAUUUCCUCUGUA
rnacentral:lncRNA from 1 species